rnacentral:siRNA from 1 species
AUUCAGAAUGUGCAUAGUAGAAUG